rnacentral:rRNA from 1 species
GACUACUAGGGUAUCUAAGCCUGUUUGCUCCCCACGCUUUCGUGCCUCAGCGUCAGUUACAGUCCAGAAAGCCGCCUUCGCCACUGGUGUUCCUCCUAAUAUCUACGCAUUUCACCGCUACACUAGGAAUUCCGCUUCCCUCUCCUGCACUCUAGCCGCCCAGUUUCAAAUGCACCACCCGAGUUAAGCCCGGGGAUUUCACAUCUGACUUAGGCAACCGCCUACGCACCCUUUACGCCCAGUAAUUCCGGACAACGCUUGCCCCCUACGUAUUACCGCGGCUGCUGGCACGUAGUUAGCCGGGGCUUCCUCCUUGGGUACCGUCAUUUUUUUCGUCCCCAAGGACAGAGGUUUACAAUCCGAAGACCUUCUUCCCUCACGCGGCGUUGCUGGGUCAGGCUUUCGCCCAUUGCCCAAUAUUCCCCACUGCUGCCGCCCGUAGG